CCAGACUCCUACGGGAGGCAGCAGUGGGGAAUAUUGCACAAUGGGCGCAAGCCUGAUGCAGCCAUGCCGCGUGUAUGAAGAAGGCCUUCGGGUUGUAAAGUACUUUCAGCGGGGAGGAAGGCGAUAAGGUUAAUAACCUUGUCGAUUGACGUUACCCGCAGAAGAAGCACCGGCUAACUCCGUGCCAGCAGCCGCGGUAAUACGGAGGGUGCAAGCGUUAAUCGGAAUUACUGGGCGUAAAGCGCACGCAGGCGGUCUGUCAAGUCGGAUGUGAAAUCCCCGGGCUUAACCCGGGAAUUGCAUCUGAUACUGGUCAGCUAGAGUCUUGUAGAGGGGGGUAGAAUUCCAUGUGUAGCGGUGAAAUGCGUAGAGAUGUGGAGGAAUACCGGUGGCGAAGGCGGCCCCCUGGACAAAGACUGACGCUCAGGUGCGAAAGCGUGGGGAGCAAACAGGAUUAGAUACCCGUGUAC
rnacentral:rRNA from 1 species